GACGAGUUGACAGUGGUUAAGGCGAUGGACUGCUAAUCCAUUGUGCUCUGCAUGCGUGGGUUCAAAUCCCUUCUUCGUCG
rfam:Danio rerio unplaced genomic contig CTG2784, GRCz11 reference primary assembly.